rnacentral:rRNA from 1 species
GUGCCAGCAGCCGCGGUAAUACGGAGGGUGCAAGCGUUAUCCGGAUUCACUGGGUUUAAAGGGUGCGUAGGAGGGCAGGUAAGUCAGUGGUGAAAUCUCCGGGCUUAACUCGGAAACUGCCGUUGAUACUAUCUGUCUUGAAUACCGUGGAGGUGAGCGGAAUAUGUCAUGUAGCGGUGAAAUGCUUAGAUAUGACAUAGAACACCGAUUGCGAAGGCAGCUCACUACACGAAUAUUGACUCUGAGGCACGAAAGCGUGGGGAUCAAACAGGAUUAGAUACCCUGGUAGUCC